GAACAGAAUGAAGCCACAAGUGAUAAUGAGGUAAUAGAAGAUGAUGAACAGAAUGAAACAACAAGUGUUAAUGAGAUAACAGAAGAUGAUAAACAGAAUGAAACCACAAGUGAUAAUGAGGUAAUAGAAGAUGAUGAACAGAAUUUAGUCACAUGUGAUAAGAAAGUAAAAGAAGAUCAUCAACAGAAUGAAACCACAAGUGAUAAUGAAGCAAUAGAAGAUGAUGAACAGAAUUUAGUCACAUGUGAUAAGGAAGUAAAAGAAGAUCAUCAACAGAAUGAAACCACAAGUGAUAAUGAAGCAAUAGAAGAUGAUAAACAGAAUGAAGCCACAAGUGAUAAUGAGGUAAUAGAAAAUGGUGAUCAGAUUGAUACCACAUGUUAUAAUGAAGAAGAUAAUGAACACAAUGAAACCACAAGUGAUAAUGAGUUAAUAAAAUAUGAUGAACAGAAUGAAGCCACAAGUGAUAAAGAGAUAAUAGAAGAUGAGGAACAAAAUGAAGCCAUAAGUGUUAAUGAGGUAAUAGAAUUUGAUGAACAGAAU